AACCCAUUGUAGCAUUUUUCGAAAAUAAAAAUCUGUUCUUAUCAGCUUAUAGCUGAUACGAUCCCCAUGUGGGAUCUUCGAUAUUAAAAUGAUUUUUGGAUUCAUGGUCAAAGUGCUAGGGGCCUUGCUCCAUCCUUUGCCGCGGAUCGGCCCGGUAUUGCAGUACUUCCAGGAUUGGUCCACUCCCC